CGAUAGCUUAUGCAACUUAUCAACCGAAGAAGCUAUACAGAUCAGUAAAAGAUGGUUACGACAAAUGGCACAGCCAUUCACGCAUGAGAACCAGCUUGGCUUGUCAUUAUUGACGAGAGAACAACUUGAGAAAAAAGAGGCUGCCAAGAUCGAACAAAAGGCUCAGCAAAAUUGAUAGUACAACAUUGGCACUAGGCCGAGUAAUCCGUUUUACUUAGGCAGAGUCAUCCGUGCGACAUUUACAGAAAAUAUAUUUCAUAUGCUGCUUGUAUGUAA